GGCAGCCAGGAGCUGCUGGGUGGGCGCGGGCGUCCCGGGGCGCGGUGCGACCCAGAGCCCCUCGCGGAACCCGCCUGGGCUGUGCAGGGGACAACGCGUUCGGCUGUCGAGGGUGGGGGAGCCCUGUGUGUGUGGUGGGGGUGGCAUCCGAUGGAUCCCGGGGGCCUGCGGAGGAGGUGGGCAUCUCGGCGCCACCCGGUGCGCGCCCCGAGCGAGGGCAUCUCCCCUCGAGACCAGCCCGCGGAGCUGCGCGAGGCGUGGGGUAAGGCGGCGUAGACCUCCCAGUGCCGGCUGCAGGGCCGCGGGUCGGGGCGGGGCCCCGCGAGGAGCAAGGGGCUGGCCGGGCUGGAGGGCUGGGUGAGUCCCCGCCCUGGCAAUCCCAGAAGAGGGCAGGGAGCGCCCCCAACUGACCGCCGGGGGCAUCGUGACGCUGAGGUGGAUGGGAGACUGCACGAUUUGAGCAGGUUGUGUGAAAUCUGGAACUCCAUUACUUGUACCCCAAGGCAUCUUUUUUAUGCGGAUUUAAGCUGGAAAGCGCCACACCAAGCUGUUAACAGGAACUGCUUCCUGGCACUGAGAUUCCAGGGGCUGCUCGUUCCUUUCUCUGGCUCAUCUGUGUAAGGAAGACUUUCCUCCGUGAGCCUUUCCACCAAGCUCAGGCCUGAGGCUUAGGAGAAAUGUGCGAGAUCCCGACAGCCUCGGAGGGAGUGAGGGGGCUUCGAGACCCUCAGGGCCACCUUAGGGGCCUCUACCAGGGAAGGAGAAAUGAUCUUGUUUCACCGGCCAGGGAGUUGAUUUCCAGACUGAAGCGUACCUGCCACGGAACUUUUACCUCCAUGGGGUGACCUUAGAACUUCUGCUCUGCAAACUGGAAGUGACCUUCAUCCUCCAGGAGGGUAUGUCGAAAGCAUUCCCGCUUGGCCACUUUUACAAGUUAUUUCUGCCUGGGAAGGCACCAACUCAAUUAUCCAGUAGAUAAGAUACGGGGCAACAGGGGAACGCCUGCCUUGCAUACUUGCUCACCCCCGACCUUAUAAAAGUGUCCAUGUUACUGCUCCAAAGGUGAAGCAGCACAUGUAAAGGCAGGACGCGUUGUGUCCCUUCCCCAAGCUACCUUUGGAAUACAUUCACUUUUCUUACACCAGACCUCGCGCUUGUUCAUUGGACUCUGCAUGCGAUGAGCAACUAACCUGCUUUUCAGUUAUGCUUUGGAGCCAUGUUGUUUAGCACUUAGAAAAUAGAGGUGGGUCUGGGCGCGGUGGCUCAUGCCUAUAAUCGCAGCAUUUUGGGAGGCCGAGGUGGGUGGACCACUUGAGGUCAGGAAUUCAAGACCAACCUGGCCAACUUGGUGAAACCCUGUCUCUACUAAAAAUAGAAAAAAUGAGCCCAGCAUGGUGGCACAUCCCUGUAAUCCCAGUUACUCGGGAGGCUGAGGCAUGAGAAUUGCUUGAAUCCGGGAGGUAGAGGUUGCAGUGAGCCGGCAUCACGCCACUGCACUCCAGCCUGGGCCACAGAGUGAGACUCCAUCUCAAAAACAAAAAAAAAAAAAAAAAAAGAAAAAGAAAAUAGAGGGUGUCUGAUAAAAAUGUACCUUCUCUAGUGUGCAGCACAGUAAAUCCAGCACCCCAGAGAUGUCCUGCCUGGCUCCCUGGAACCCGUCUGUGCACAUGAUGAGAUGUCACCUCUGUAAUUAGCUUAGGUUACAUGGCACAAUUAGCCUUAAAAUAGGGAAAUAUUCUGGGUGAGCCUCAUCUAAUCCCAUGAGACCUUAAAAGCAGAGAGCUUUCUCCCACUGGUGGCAGAAGGAGAAGUCAGACUAGAAGCAGAAUUCACAUGCCAUUGUUGACCUGAAGACUGAGGGACAAGGUGGCAAGGAAUGAUAGCAAAUUCUAGAAGCUAACAGCAGCCCCUGGCUGGCAGCCAGCAAGGAAAUGGGAACUUCAUACUGAAUUCUGCCAGUAAUAGAAAUGAGCUUGGAAGAGGACCCUAAAUUCCAGGGGAGGGAUGCAGCUGGACAGAGAACCUAGCCAUGCUGUACUGGUCUCCUGACCUGUGGGACUGUGGCAAAAUAAAUGGAUGUUGUGUUAAAAAGAAAAAACCUAAACACUCAGAAAAAAAGAAAAAUGUUGGCAGUACAAAGAGAUAUUGCCAGAAACACAAAUAUAGUGAGUCUUUAACAUACUAUUUAACAACCUAGAAGAGAUUUAACUUACCAAAAUCAGAGACAUCAGGCCAGACAGGGUGGCUCACGCCUGUAAUCCCAGCACUUUGGGAAGCCAAGUGGGUGGAUCACUUAAGGCCAGGAGUUCAAGACAAACCUGACCAACGUGGUGAAACCCCAUCUCUACUGAAAAUACAAAAGUUAUCCGGGUGUGGUGGCAUGCACCUGUAAUCCCAGCUCCUUGGGAGGCUAAGGCAGAAGAAUCUCUUGAACCCGGGAGGCAGAGGUUGCAGUGAGCCUAGAUUCCACCACUGCACUCCAGCCUGGCCUGGACAACAGAGCAAGACUCUCUCAAAAAAAAUAAAAAUGAAAAUAAACCAAAGACAUCAAAGACCCAAACAAUACCAUGAGUAGUUUGAAUCAAAGAUCUGUAUCAAAUUCUGUACCACACACAGCUUGUAUCUUCUUUUUGCAUAUGAAACCUUUACCAUGUAUGUGUAUUAGAAGGAAAGACAACAUCAACUAUCCCCCAAGGCAGAAAUUAAACAGGCCAAACUCUAUGUCCACAAUAUACGGUAAAUCAGAAAUUACCCACAAAAUUAAACCAAACAAGAACAAUGACAAAAAUCCUAGCCUGUUUCUUAAAUAACUGUUGAGUCAAAGAGAAAGUAAAAACUAUAAUGGUUCAUUGUUUUGAAAUCGGGAAGACCACAUAAUUAUAUUUAAGGGAAUAAUGUCAGUUUACCUCAUUUUGACUUCAAGGGGUGUUACGUGUCAGGCCUUGGGCUUAAGGCUGUAGCUGCUGAACAUUGCCCAAUUUAACAACUAUAAAUGCAUUCAUUAUUGUAAAAAUAAAAAUAAAAACAAGUGAACUAAUGUUUCAACUCAACAUUGCACGAGAAGAAUUUUAUUUUUAUUUAUUUAUUUUUUUGAAACAGGGUCUCACUCCAUUGCCCAGGCUGGAGUGCAGUGGCACCAUCUUGGCUCACUGCAACCUCUGCCUUCCAGGCUGAAGAGCUCCUCCCACCUCAGCCUCCCCAGUGGCUGGGACUAUAGGCACGCCCUCCAGGCCUAGCUAAUUUUUAUAUUUUCGGUAGAGAUAGGGUUUUGCGAUGUUGCCCAGGCUGGUCUCAGUCUCCUGAGCUCAAUUCAUCUGUCCACCUCAGCCUCCCAAAGUGCUGAGACUACAGGCACGAGCCAGCACGCUGGGCCAGAAAAGAACUUUAUUUAUUUAUUUUUUUUUGAGACGGAGUCUUGCUCUGUCACCCAAGCUGGAGUGCAGUGGUGUGAUCUUGGCUCACUGCAACGUCCUCCGCCUCCUGGGUUCAAGUGAUUCCCCUGUCUCAGCCUCCUGAGUAGCUGGGAUUACAGGCACCUGCCACCACACCCAGCUAAUUUUUGUAUUUUUAGUAGAGACAGGGUUUCGCCAUGUUGGCCGGGCUGGUCUUGAACUCCUGACCUCAGGUGAUCUGCCCGCCUCGGACUCCCAAAGUGCUGGGAUUACAGGUGUGAGCCACCACGACCAGCCCAGAAAAGAACUUUAAAGCAGAGUAAAACAAAACCAGAAAAAAGAAAUAAUAAAGACAUAAGAGAGAUGAGUCAAAUUUAAUGAAUUUGAAAGGAGUAGAUAAAUUGUCGGUUAUUUUUUUAAAAAAGCAUUAAAAUAGCUAAACCUAUGCCAAAUUUAAUGAAAGACAAGUGUAAUUAGCAAGUUAAUUAAAUGCAGUUUAAAGUGUAAAAGUAUAAGAAUUAUAAUUCAUAUAUGAAUAGAUUUUUAAUUUUUUAUUCUUAAAAUUAAUUUUUUUUUUUUACAGAGUCCUGCUCUGUCGAACCAGGCUGGAGGGCAGUGGAGCGAUCAUAGCACACUGUAGCCUUGACCUCCUGGGCUCAAGCGAUCCUCUUGCCUCAGCCUCCUGGGUAGCUAGGACUACAGGCAUGUGGUACCACACCCUGCCAUGAGUAGAUUUUAAAUCUUGUUGAAAAGUAUGUGGCCUGAGCAACAUGGAAAAACCCCAUCUCUACUAAAAAUACAAAUAUUGGCCAGGCAUUGUAGCAUGCACCUGUAGUCUCAGCUACCUGGGAGGCUGAGGCAGGAGAAUUGCUUAAACCCGGGAGGCAGAGGUUGCAGUGAGCCGAGAUUGUGCCACUGUACUCCAGCCUUGGUGACAUAGUGAGAUUCUGUCUCAAAAAAAAAAGAAAAGUAUGGUUCAAAUAAACAAAAGGAAUAGAGUCAAAAAGAAAGGAAGCCAGGUGUGGCACACACCUGUACUCCCAUCUAUUAGGGAGGCUAAGGUAGGAGGCUCACUUGAGCCCAGGAAUUCAAAGCUGCAGUGAGCUGUGACCAUCGCACUGCACUCCAGCCUGUGCGACAGAGCCAGACCCUGUCUCUAAAAAUAAAGAAAACCCAUAUGCUCUCAUAAUCCAGGAACAAUUGGAAAGAGUUAUCAGUCACCUUCCCAGAGUCUCUGGAGACCAUUUGGGCAGUAAGUUCUUUCAGGCAGUAAGGUCUUUCAAACUCCCAAGAAACAACUAGUUCUAGCCUAUGAGCCCAUUUUUGCCAUGGCAAAAAAUGACAAGCUCUCCAAUUCAUUGUAUGAAAUUAAUAUAACACUGAUCCCAAAGCCAGCAAAUAGAGCACAGUUAAAUUACCCCUGAAUCCCACAAACUGCAUUGUAGCCAGAAGCCGCCUUGCUAUCCUGGUCUCAUAGCUUUCAGGUAUUUGGCUCCUCAUUUGUUCCUAAAUCCUACUGACAGGGACAUGAGGCGGGAAAAAAAAAAAAAAAAAGAAUCUGCCAAAGAUGGCCGGACUUCAGGGGAAGAUUACCUACCCCACAUCCCCCUUAACAGCUCCCCUUCCCACUGAAAGCCUUUUUUUUUUUUUUUUUUUUUUUUUUGAGAAGGAGUUUCACUCUGUCGCCCAGGCUGGAGUGCAGUGACACAUGCCCUCCAGGCCCAGCUAAUUUUUGUAUUUUCGGCUCACUGCAACCUCUGCCUCCCAGGUUCAAGCAAUUCUCCUGCCUCAGCCUCCCGAGUAGCGGGGACUACAGGCACGCGCCACCACACCCAGCUAAUUUUUGUAUUUUUAGUGGAGAUGGGGUUUCACCAUGUUGGCCAGGAUGGUCUCCAUCUCUUGACCUCGUGAUCCGCCCGCCUCAGCCUCCCAACGUGCUGGGAUUACAGGUGUGAGCCACGGUGCCCAAACCGAGCCAUUUUCAUUGGCAAUAAAAUCUCCCACAUUUACUAUCCUUCAAUUCGUUCGUGUGACCUCAUUUUUCCUGGAUGCCGGACAAGAGCUUAGGAGCCACAAGUGUGGAUACGAAAGGCUGUCACACUGGCCCUUCGCCCUCGCUAGCAGAGGGCAGCCAUGGGCCCACUGAGAGCUGUUAACACUUAAGCCGUCCGUGGACAGCAGAGCUAAAAGAGCACUCUAACAUGGCCUCCGGGGCCCCGGGAGUCGCAGGCACCCUGCCUGGACGCUGUUGUGGGGCCUGAACGAAGUUCACUGCUGCCGGCGCCCAAAAGCGCUCGCUCCAGCUCCUGCACCUGCUCAACUGUGUGCUCCCUUUCACGAGGGUCGGAAUGCGGUGGAUCUGAGAGAGUGGAGUCUGAUCCCGCCCGCACUGAAACAGCUGGCUGGUUCCAGCACUCCUGCGCUCCAGUUCCCGCCUCGUUUGCUGUGUGCUCCCUCCCACCAGCAGUUGAGAGCAGUGGGCUAAGUAAACUAGGCACCCCUGUCCAAAGUCCUGAGAAGGGCUCAAGGAACUAUCCUGCUUCACUAUUGAUCAGUGGUCUCCCUGUCAGGGGCAGAUCCGGCCUUCUCUUCUCAAAUUAUCCUGGGUGAUAAUACCCAUUGGGUUUGUCUCCUGGGUGAUUCCCUCCACGGCUGAACCUCACCCACUACCUUCUCGUCAGUGUCAUUGACUCUGCACACAGGUUACUGUUGCUCACCCACCACUGGUGCCUCUGACCCUUCUAGGACCAUCUAGGUUCCCCCUGAGUAACUCAGGGGCAUUGCUGACCAGCUGUGGACCAGAAGGCUCCCUUAGGGCACGUGCUGCAUGGUAGGGCUAACUGUGGCUGUCCCCCAAGACCUGUGGGGUCAGGCCCUUCCCUCUGAUGUUGGGGUUGGGGACCUUGCAGCGGAGUCAGAGGGAGAAGCUUCGUGUUCCCUCCACCCCAGGAUCCUCCACCGAAGUAAGUAAUUUGACACAGAGGAAACCAGAUGCACAAAAAUUAAAAGGAUAAACCGUAAUUCAGCUAAAAUACCCAAGGGUUGAAAUUGCCAAAG
rnacentral:lncRNA from 1 species